rnacentral:rRNA from 2 species
CGCUGAACUUAAGCAUAUCAAU